CAGUCGAGCGAGUCUGCCUUGAAGAUCGGAGUGCUUGCACUCUGUGAAACAAGAUACAGGCUAGCGGCGGACGGGUGAGUAACACGUGGGUAACCUGCCCAAGAGAUCGGGAUAACACCUGGAAACAGAUGCUAAUACCGGAUAACAACAGAUGAUGCCUAUCAACUGUUUAAAAGAUGGUUCUGCUAUCACUCUUGGAUGGACCUGCGGUGCAUUAGCUAGUUGGUAGGGUAACGGCCUACCAAGGCGAUGAUGCAUAGCCGAGUUGAGAGACUGAUCGGCCACAUUGGGACUGAGACACGGCCCAAACUCCUACGGGAGGCAGCAGUAGGGAAUCUUCCACAAUGGACGCAAGUCUGAUGGAGCAACGCCGCGUGAGUGAAGAAGGGUUUCGGCUCGUAAAGCUCUGUUGUUGGUGAAGAAGGACGGGGGUAGUAACUGACCUUUGUUUGACGGUAAUCAAUUAGAAAGUCACGGCUAACUACGUGCCAGCAGCCGCGGUAAUACGUAGGUGGCAAGCGUUGUCCGGAUUUAUUGGGCGUAAAGCGAGUGCAGGCGGUUCGAUAAGUCUGAUGUGAAAGCCUUCGGCUCAACCGGAGAAUUGCAUCAGAAACUGUCGAGCUUGAGUACAGAAGAGGAGAGUGGAACUCCAUGUGUAGCGGUGAAAUGCGUAGAUAUAUGGAAGAACACCGGUGGCGAAGGCGGCUCUCUGGUCUGUUACUGACGCUGAGGCUCGAAAGCAUGGGUAGCGAACAGGAUUAGAUACCCUGGUAGUCCAUGCCGUAAACGAUGAGUGCUAAGUGUUGGGAGGUUUCCGCCUCUCAGUGCUGCAGCUAACGCAUUAAGCACU
rnacentral:rRNA from 1 species